rnacentral:rRNA from 1 species
AACGAACGCUGGCGGCAGGCUUAACACAUGCAAGUCGAGCGCCCCGCAAGGGGAGCGGCGGUCGGGUGAGUAACGCGUGGGAACGUACCUUUUGGUUCGGAACAACUCCGGGAAACUGGAGCUAAUACCGGAUAAGCCCUAACGGGGAAAGAUUUAUCGCCGAAAGAUCGGCCCGCGUCUGAUUAGCUAGUUGGUGAGGUAACGGCUCACCAAGGCGACGAUCAGUAGCUGGUCUGAGAGGAUGAUCAGCCACACUGGGACUGAGACACGGCCCAGACUCCUACGGGAGGCAGCAGUGGGGAAUAUUGGACAAUGGGCGCAAGCCUGAUCCAGCCAUGCCGCGUGAGUGAUGAAGGCCUUAGGGUUGUAAAGCUCUUUUGUCCGGGAAGAUAAUGACUGUACCGGAAGAAUAAGCCCCGGCUAACUUCGUG